AUUCUUUAGCCUUAAUUAAUUUAACCAAUAUCUUUUAUUUAGCUUUUCUAAAUUGGAUGAAUGUAUAUUUUUAACGCUAAUAACUAACAAGAGAAAAAAAGAAAGAAUAUGGUAAUUUAUGCAUUGAUUGUAUGAAAUGAAAAGUAUUAUGGUUCAUAAUACUUGUCAACAUAUUGUUCCUUUUUUAUCCUUGAGAGUUAUUAGCCUUGAAAAUAUACA
rnacentral:lncRNA from 1 species